rnacentral:snRNA from 1 species
AUACUUACCUGGCAGGGGAGAUACCAUGAUCACGAAGGUGGUUUUCCCAGGGUGAGGCUCAUCUAUUGCACUGCGGGUGUGCUGACCCCUGCGAUUUCCCCAAAUGCGGGAAACUCGACUGCAUAAUUUGUGGUAGU